GAACAGCUCAAUAGCCCUGAGGCAGCUGUAAUGAGAAUUUGUGUGAUGACAGAUCUUCUGUGAAAAAAAUUUCAAUGGCUUCACCAAGAGCUCCUCAGAUUUAACAUUACAGCUGUUGCUAGUCUUAUGGACCUCUCGUUAAGCAUGCUAAAUAAGCAUUCUUGCAAAUUUAAUUCAUUCUUGAGAUAACCCUUUGACUGUGUGAAUCAUGAGAACCUACAUGUGCCUUGAGGUGCUUUGAAGAAUUGAAUAAAAUAUUUGGCCCAC